rnacentral:rRNA from 1 species
AACGAACGCUGGCGGCGCGCCUAAUACAUGCAAGUCGAGCGAGAAGACGUAGCAAUACGUUUGUAAAGCGGCGAACGGGUGAGGAAUACAUGGGUAACCUACCCUCGAGUGGGGAAUAACUAGCCGAAAGGUUAGCUAAUACCGCGUACGCUCCUUGGACUUCGGUUCAGGGAGGAAAGACGAUACCGUGGGUAUCGCGCUCUUGGAUGGGCGUCAUGUCCUAUCAGCUUGUUGGUGAGGAACGGCUCACCAAGGCUUCGACGGGUAGCUGGCCUGAGAGGACGAUCAGCCACACUGGCACUGCGACACGGGCCAGACUCCUACGGGAGGCAGCAGUAAGGAUAUUGCGCAAUGGGCGAAAGCCUGACGCAGCGACGCCGCGUGAGGGAUGACGGCCU